AACGAACGCUGGCGGCAGGCUUAACACAUGCAAGUCGAACGCCACCUUCGGGUGGAGUGGCAGACGGGUGAGUAACGCGUGGGAACGUACCUAUUGGUUCGGAAUAUUCUCGGGAAACUGAGAGCAAUACCGAAUAAGCCCUGAGGGGGAAAGAUUUAUCGCCAAAUAGAUCGGCCCGCGUUAGAUUAGGUAGUUGGUAGGGUAAUGGCCUACCAAGCCUACGAUCUAUAGCUGGUCUGAGAGGAUGAUCAGCCACAUUGGGACUGAGACACGGCCCAAACUCCUACGGGAGGCAGCAGUGGGGAAUAUUGGACAAUGGGCGCAAGCCUGAUCCAGCCAUGCCGCGUGAAUGAUGAAGGCCUUAGGGUUGUAAAAUUCUUUCAACGGUGAAGAUAAUGACGGUAACCGUAGAAGAAGCCCCGGCUAACUUCGUG
rnacentral:rRNA from 1 species